rnacentral:lncRNA from 1 species
CAGUCACUGCUAAAAAAACAACAGCAACUCAAUCAUGGUGUCACAGAACUGGGCACUAAAAGAUCUAAUGUAUAACAUAAAUGGGGGGGGGGCAGUAAGCAACAUCUAAACUCAAAGCAGGAGUGGUACAGAAGCACCCUAUAUGUCAAAGUUCUAAGCAACAGGAUCUAGGCAGAAGCCUGCUCUCCAGAGGAGUAAGUCCAUGUCCUACCUUGAAGAAGCAGCCCACUCACUCAGCACAGGUCACCUCAGAUGUCUUCCGAUUCAAGCUCCCCCCAAUACCUUCCUUCAACUUCAGAUCCUUACUCAUGGCUGUCCCCCAUCUGGCUAUGUUUAUCUCUACAAUGGAGCCCUAAAAUGAAGGGAGGCCCCUUCAUUUUUUUAUAUAACAUAUUUUUAUGUACUAUAUUGUACAAUAACCAUUUUGAAGAUCAAAGAAUGGAACUGUAAGUAACACUGUGUUAUCAAAACCCCUUCCUUGGGAGAGGCAAAAAUAGCACCUACCCUCCUCCUCAGGUCCCAGUGACAAACCACGGAGCAAGUCCUCCAGCACUCACUGGGAACCCAGGAGUGUGUCAGGUCAAUGGGGGAUGUUACAGACAGGGGCAUAGGUGAUCUUAACCAGCCACUCUAGAAGGUCUGCACCCGGGAGGAAUGGUUGCUUCCCCAUAGCUGAGUAGAUGGAGCCUCCUCCCCUCAUCCUUCCCAACCUACAUCCUCUAGCUCAUCCCAAAAGACCCCACCGCCACAUGCAGUUAGGGAAGAAUUGCAAACAGCUGGUUGGGGAUGUGUGUGGCUGGACCUUCCCUGCCCUCUCCUCCUAUGAAGAAUGGUAAAC